rnacentral:rRNA from 1 species
GACGUAGGAUGCAAGCGUUGUCCGGAUUUAUUGGGCGUAAAGAGUUCGUAGGCUGUUUGUUAAGUCUGGUGUUAAAGACUGAGGCCCAACCUCGGAAAUGCAUCGGAUACUGGCAGACUUGAGUACGGUAGAGGCGAGUGGAAUUCCCAGUGUAGCGGUGAAAUGCGUAGAUAUUGGGAAGAACACCGGUGGCGUAGGCGACUCGCUGGGCCGCAACUGACGCUGAGGAACGAAAGCCAGGGGAGCGAAUGGGAUUAGAAACCCCAGUAGUCC